AGAGGAUGAUCAGCCACACUGGAACUGAGACACGGUCCAGACUCCUACGGGAGGCAGCAGUGGGGAAUAUUGCACAAUGGGCGCAAGCCUGAUGCAGCCAUGCCGCGUGUGUGAAGAAGGCCUUCGGGUUGUAAAGCACUUUCAGUCGUGAGGAAGGUAGUGUAGUUAAUAGCUGCAUUAUUUGACGUUAGCGACAGAAGAAGCACCGGCUAACUCCGUGCCAGCAGCCGCGGUAAUACGGAGGGUGCGAGCGUUAAUCGGAAUUACUGGGCGUAAAGCGCAUGCAGGUGGUUUGUUAAGUCAGAUGUGAAAGCCCGGGGCUCAACCUCGGAAUUGCAUUUGAAACUGGCAGACUAGAGUACUGUAGAGGGGGGUAGAAUUUCASGUGUAGCGGUGAAAUGCGUAGAGAUCUGAARGAAUACCGGUGGCSAAGGCGGCCCCCUGGACAGAUACUGACACUCAGAUGCGAAAGCGUGGGGAGCAAACAGGAUUAGAUACCCUGGUAGUCCACGCCGUAAACGAUGUCUACCUUGGAGGUUGUGUKCCUUGAGCCGUGGCUUUCGGAGCUAACGCGUUAAGUAGACCGCCUGGGGAGUACGGUCGCAAGAUUAAAACUCAAAUGAAUUGACGGGGGCCCGCACAAGCRRUGGAGCAUGUGGUUUAAUUCGAUGCAACGCGAAGAACCUUACCUACUCUUGACAUCCAGAGAACUUUCCAGAGAUGGAUUGGUGCCUUCGGGAACUCUGAGACAGGUGCUGCAUGGCUGUCGUCAGCUCGUGUUGUGAAAUGUUGGGUUAA
rnacentral:rRNA from 1 species